GGACAUAUGCAAGUCUAUAGAGAGAUAGGAGCUCUCUUUGCAGCUUCAGUAAUACUUUGUCUUUUCUUUAAUCUAAACCAUAUUCUCUAACCUGGCGCGCUCAGGCGCAUGCAGGCUCUGAUUAAACGAAGGCGGGAUUUGAAAUAGCUGGAGGAUAACGACUGUAGUGGAGUGGAGUUAGCCUGGUGUGCAAGAACAUGACGUCAGCACCGAAGUUUGCAUCAGCUCACAGCGAAGACAAAGUGCCACCAGACAAGAUGAGGAGCUUGCAGAUGGAAACAAGGGUGGGUGGUUGGAAGGCUGGAUAAAGGCUGGUAGAUGACUGAACUCAGAGACCCGGCGCAGCUCAUCAUCAUUGCCACGGGCUCUCGUCUUCCUCCUCUCCUCCUGUGGCCCCGUACCUCCAUCCAGGGGUCCAGCAGAGCCAGCGAAGCCCAGGCGGGGAGCUAGUGAGUGGGCUGGGAAAGAUGGAGAAGGUCCCCGAAGGCGAGAAGCACCUCUGGAGCUACCGGCAUGCAGGAGAAAUCAAUACGAAACACAGAGCCUGCACAGCUCUGAGUGGGGUUUCCUGUGUUAGUCUGUGGCCUAGGGGCCCGCAGACCUCCAAAGGACAGGCCCUGCGUGGCCCUCUCAGCUGCAGCCCCGGCUCCUUAGACUGGACCUCAGUCCCGAUCUCCACUGGCUGUGUGUGGUUCCGCUGAAGGGGAUCUCUCCCCAAAUAAUACUGAAUGUUGAGAGACCGCCGACAGGGAUAUUCCUUUCUCUUGAUUUUUUCCCCCCUUCAUAAGAUUGACAUAUCCCCCACCUUCUGCCUCUGGCUGUUUAAAAACCAGUUUGGGAGUUCUGCUUUUGACUCGCUCUCCAUCCUCGACUCGCCCGUUGUUUAUUCCCCAAACAGUUUUUACAUUUGACAA